UGGGGAAUUUUGGACAAUGGGCGCAAGCCUGAUCCAGCAAUGCCGCGUGAGUGAAGAAGGCCUUCGGGUUGUAAAGCUCUUUUGUCAGGGAAGAAACGGAUUGAUCUAAUAAAUUGGUCUAAUGACGGUACCUGAAGAAUAAGCACCGGCUAACUACGUGCCAGCAGCCGCGGUAAUACGUAGGGUGCAAGCGUUAAUCGGAAUUACUGGGCGUAAAGCGUGCGCAGGCGGUUCGUUAAGACAGAUGUGAAAUCCCCGGGCUUAACCUGGGAACUGCAUUUGUGACUGGCGAGCUAGAGUAUGGCAGAGGGGGGUAGAAUUCCACGUGUAGCAGUGAAAUGCGUAGAGAUGUGGAGGAAUACCGAUGGCGAAGGCAGCCCCCUGGGCCAAUACUGACGCUCAUGCACGAAAGCGUGGGGAGCAAACAGGAUUAGAUACCCCUGUAGUCC
rnacentral:rRNA from 1 species